rnacentral:rRNA from 1 species
ACUGAACGCUGGCGGCAUGCCUAAUACAUGCAAGUCGAGCGAACGGACGAACCGAUUGCUUCUCUGAUGUAAGCGGCGCAAGCGUGAGUACCAUGUCGCUAACCUACCUAUACGAAUGGGAUAAAUUCCGCCAACCGGCGCUAAUAACGGAUCAUAUUUUGAACCGCAUGGUUCUAAAACGAUAGCCCGUCUUGCUGUCACUUAUCCAUGGAUCCGCGCUGCAUUAGCUAGUUGGUAAGGUAACGGCUUACCAAGGCAAUGAUACAUAGCCGCCCUGAGAGGGUGACACGGCACACUGGAACUGAGAAACGGUCCAGACUCCUACGGGAGGCAGCAGUAGGGAAUCUUGCACAAUGCGCGAAAGCCUGAAGCAGCAACGCCGCGUGCAUGAUGAAGGUCUUCGGAUCGUAAAACACUGUCAGCCGGGAAGAACAUAGGUGUAAUUACAUUUGCACAUCUUGACGUUACCUAAACAAAAAGCCAGGGCUAACUUCGUG